AAAAAUCUGUCUUUUAAAUGAAUAAGUGCUUUCUUCCUGGCUAAAACAAACUCCAUGUAAUCACUAUCUUCUAUCUUUUUCUUCUUUAGGAAAUGGGAUGUUUGAUUCCUGCUCUAUCUAUAAUUUACUUUAGUUUUCCUAGGUUUGGAUGAAAUUCUGUGUGUAGCCAUGAAGAAUCUAAGUCGUUGUCGUUGAGAGUGACAUUGAACGGUCAUUGUUUAGUGCUAUAGUUUUGUCUUUUCUCAACCAAGAGGAUGUGGGUUUGAGUAUGAGAAACAGUUAUUUCACGCAAAUUGUUGGGGAUCCAACUAUGCUAUGACUGGCUGCAUUGAAUAUCAUUGAAAAAGAUUUCUUUUAUACAAUAUAACAUUUAUAUUCUUCUAAAAUAAAUAAGGAAUCGCAAAAUCCUGUAAGAUAUUUAUCGCAUUUAGUUUUUAUAUAGUUUCUUUGUGAUUGCCUAAAUUACCUACUAUAUGUGUAUCUUCUUGUUGAUUAAAGGACUUGUUCAAUUUUGCAGGAUUGGGAGAUAACAGCUGCUUCAGAAAAGUUGGCUGAGUGCCAAGAGACUAUUCUAAAUCUAGGG
rnacentral:misc_RNA from 1 species